CGGCGGUGCCAAUCCAACAGACCUACCAAUGCAGAACGCGGAGGGAGAGAGGGGAGUCGACCGUGACAAGAAUGUGCCACUGCCAGAUAUGAAUAUUGUUAACCAUGAAAAAGAACCUAUCAACAAGAUCGAUGUGCAGAUAGAAAUAAUAGCAAAUUCGCGUCAUAACAAACCAAGAAGAUCAAAUACAAAUAUUACACCACAAGAUUAUAUUUGCACAGCGGACGAUAUUUCCAUUAUUAAAUCAAUCAUGUCCUUACAUGAAAAAACGAAGUUGGUGCACAUCAAUGAUGCAUUAUUAACAAACGCUGAGAUGAGAUGCCUUACGCAUGAUGAUGUGUUUUUGCAUGAUGAUGUAAUAAAUGCAUACAUAUACUGCAUAAGUGCCCAGGAGCAUCUGCAAAAUAGAGCGGAUGGAAAGGUAUUCCUUCCAAUUAACAUCAGAAAAUGCCACUGGUAUCUAUCAGUAAUCAAUGUGAAGAAACGAGAGAUACAGGUACUGGACUCGCUUGGAGUUGGAAUGGGCCGCAGUGACCUCACUAUGACGUUACAAGGACUUGACAAGCAUCUAAAAAUCGCAUGUGAUAUGCCGGAGUUUAAGAGAGGUGAUAGGUAGCAGGACCUCGAUAUUAUGAAUUGGACAGUCGUAGACAAGUUCCAAGAGCCAAUCCAAACAGAUAGCGCGUCAUGUGGAUUGUUUAUGUUAAAUUGUAUGGAGUAUUGGACUGGAGAUAUUUUGUCUGAUAAUUUCACUCAGGAGGACAUGAAAGAAUUUCGACGAAAAUUAGCUGUCAUAUUGUUGGAGACAGAACUUAAUAAGUUAAAAGGAAGUCCAAUAUAUUAUCGGACUGACAAUGAAGAAAAUGUAUCUGACAAUGAAGAAAAUGUAUUUGAUUCUGAUGUUGAGUUUCUGAAGGACCGAAAGCGUAAGCGGCAAGAUUCACAUGAUGGAGCCGAAGACAAAAGCCCCCUUCGGAACCCCAUCAUGGCCGCGGACCCGCAAGAUUUAGUUGAUGAACUAUGCAACCACAUCAUGUCAAUUAAUGAUGCUACUUCCUUGGAGAGUGGGUGCGAAGUUCUAAACCCCAUCCGAUAGGAUUAAGUCUUAGAAGGAUCCAAGGUAUACUCCGCAGGGACCAGCCGUUGGACAUUGAUUGUUUCAACAUGGCUAUACGCAUACUUGCAAGUGACGAGGCCUUACUGACAAGAGAUCCUCCCGUGCGCUUUAUGGAUCUACAAUUUUAUACGGCCGUGAUUGAAGCUGCCCUCGCUUCCGCACGAGAUUUAGAUUCGCGGGUACAGCCAGAUAUUCAGGCGCUAGCAUCAUUGCUUCGUAGCUCGACUGAGAUAGACCACACCAUCUCAUCAUGCAAUUGGAUAUUGCUUCCUCAUGCAUUCCUCGGCCACUUCAUCUUGUUCGCAAUCGACAAACAUGCCCGUCAAGUAUCUAUUUUGGACCCACUUAUUCCGUCCUUAUCUUCAGAGAGAUAUGCAUUAAAAUUUCAGAGGGUUGCAUUCUACCUGAAUGAUGCACUCGAAUUAGCACAACCGGGUUGGAAGUCUGAUACAUUUUUCUGGCCACGUAAAUCACCAAUUGAUGUUCCGACGAGCGUAGACCGGGAUGAAUCUGGUUAUUUUGUUUUCAAUUUUAUGCUCUCAUGGCAUGGUAACAAAUUUGUUCGUCCAAUUUGCACGGAUGGUUAUCAGUUAAGAAAGAAUUUGUUGAUACACUUGCUCGAGUAUCAUGCGAAUGAAGCUGAAGACAAUACCCCGUAUGAUGUACGAGAAAUUCUCAAGUGCCUGAAGUAGGAAGUUAAUAAGAGAUAAUAAACUGGACUUGAUCUCUACGCAUCGGUAGUCAGACUAUAGUUUCAUUUUAUCAGAAUUUAUUUGUUCAUCUCCAUGGAUUUGUUUUCCGUAUUUGCCAUAUGUUGUGGCUAUUUAUUUAUAAGCUUUUGCGAUGCAAUAUGUAUUGGAGGGGGAAAAAGUUGAGCUUCAUCUGAAGACAGAUGCACUCAUUAUCUUAUUUUCAA